rnacentral:sRNA from 1 species
GAAUCAGAGGAGGGGGGAGGACAGCUAGGCCCAGCUGCCUUGGGCGGGGGCCUGCGGAGGGGAAGCCCACCCGCAAUGCAUGGAGUAUUAUUUUUAUAUGUGGUGGGCUGGAGCUCCAGGCUGGCGGGGCUGAUCCCCGCACAUACGCAGGGUUCUGCUCCCUGAGGGGGGCCUGGGAGGGGCUCCAGCAGGAGGCCAUGGCUGCCAUUCAGGGGAAAGUUGGGGGACGACACACACUUGACCUGCAAGGGCCAACGACGCAGGGGACACCGUGCCGGCUUCAGACACUCCCAGAGCCCACCCUCACAGGCACAGGACUGGAGCUUUCUCCAGCCAAGUUUCAGGCCACUGAUCCUCGCAUGGUGUUGGGGGUGCUGGUGUGUUUUGGUGCCUGGACUUGGGU